GAUUGAACGCUAGCGGGAUGCUUUACACAUGCAAGUCGAACGGCAGCGCGGACUUCGGUCUGGCGGCGAGUGGCGAACGGGUGAGUAAUAUAUCGGAACGUGCCCAGUAGCGGGGGAUAACUACGCGAAAGCGUGGCUAAUACCGCAUACGCCCGUACGGGGGAAAGGGGGGAGUUCUUCGGAACCUCUCACUAUUGGAGCGGCCGAUAUCAGAUUAGCUAGUUGGUGAGGUAAAGGCUCACCAAGGCGACGAUCUGUAGCUGGUCUGAGAGGACG
rnacentral:rRNA from 1 species